UACGUAGGGGGGCAAGCGUUGUCCGGAUUCAUUGGGCGUAAAGGGCGCGUAGGCGGCGCGGGUAGUCAACGGUGAAAGCUUGGGGCUCAACCCCGAGUCGGCCGUCGAUACUCCCGUGCUUGAGCACUGUAGAGGCAGGUGGAAUUCCGGGUGUAGCGGUGGAAUGCGUAGAGAUCCGGAAGAACACCGGUGGCGAAGGCGGCCUGCUGGGCAGUAGCUGACGCUGAGGCGCGACAGCGUGGGGAGCAAACAGG
rnacentral:rRNA from 1 species